ACAGAGUUGUAAUUAUGUAGUCACAGAUAUGACAUACCUCCAUGAAUGAGCUUGGUGGACCUAGAGGAAGUCCCCGAAGAGAAAUCCUCUCUCUCAACGAGCCCAACUCGAAGGCCCCUGGAAACAGCGUCAAGCGCCACACCGCAG